CUGACCUUAGCUCAAUUGGUAGAGCGAAAGACUGUAGAGCACGUCUCUGAGUAGGAUGGUCAAUCAUCUUUAGGUCGCUGGUUCGAUUCCGGCAGGUCAGA
rnacentral:tRNA from 1 species